rnacentral:misc_RNA from 1 species
UGUUGACCAACCAUGAUUUUUGCCCAUAUGUUGAGGAAAUUUGAAGCUGAAAAUGAAUCUCCAAGUAUAUGAGCCCAACUUAGCCCUAUUGACAUCCCUCCACAUUUGAACCAAGUGAACUGUAUGAAAACGAGAGGUGAAAAUCCCAAAUCCGGACCAAGAAGUUGAUCAUAAACAAGCUCCUCAUCAUGAUCAUUAUCAUUCAUAGCAAGCCACUCAUCAAUUGUUUUAUUUUUACAUUUUGCUUCAACAACCCUAACACCACUAUCAUUACACUUCAUGAACGGCCGGCCG